rnacentral:rRNA from 1 species
GAUGAACGCUGGCGGCGUGCCUAAUACAUGCAAGUCGAGCGAACAGACGAUGAGCGUGUUCCCCUGACGUUAGCGGCUGACGGGUGAGUAACACGUGGAUAACCUACUUAUAAUACUUGGAUAACUUCGGGAAACCGGAGCUAAUACCGGAUAAUAUAUUGAACCGCAUGGUUCAAUAGUUCAUGACGGUUUUGCUGUCACUUUUAGACGGAUCCGCGCCGCAUUAGCUAGUUGGUAAGGUAACGGCUUACCAAGGCAACGAUGCGUAGCCGACCUGAGAGGAUGAUCAGCCACACUGGAACUGAGACACGGUCCAGACUCCUACGGGAGGCAGCAGUAGGGAAUAUUCCGCAAUGGGCGAAAGCCUGACGGAGCAACGCCGCGUGAGUGAUGAAGGUCUUCGGAUCGUAAAACUCUGUUAUUAGGAAAGAAAAAAUGUGUAAGUAAAUAUGCACGUCUUGACGGUACCUAAUCAGAAAGCCACGGCUAACUACGUG